AGGAUGAACGCUGGCGGCGUGCCUAACACAUGCAAGUCGAACGUCCUGUCUCGCAAGAGGCAGGGAGUGGCGGACGGGUGAGUACCACGUGGGUCAUCUACCGUGAGGUGAGGAAUACCGGCGAGAAAUCGCCGACAAGACCGCAUAGGCUCGAUGCAAGUCGAGCAAAGCUCUUUCGAGAGAGGGAGCGCCACACGAGGAGCCUGCGCCCGAUUAGCUAGCUGGUGGAGUAACGGCUCACCAGGGCGACGAUCGGUAGCUGGUCUGAGAGGACGAUCAGCCACACUGGGAUUGAGAACGGCCCAGACUCCUACGGGGGGCAGCAGUGAGGAAUUUUCGCAAUGGGGGCAACCCUGAACGAGCAACGCCGCGUGCAGGAAGAAGGUUUUCGGAUCGUAAACUGCUUUUCUCGGGGAAGAGAACGGACGGUACCCGAGGAAUCAGCCCCGGCUAACUACGUGCCAGCAGCCG
rnacentral:rRNA from 1 species